rnacentral:rRNA from 1 species
GUCCACGCUGUAAACUAUGAUUACUCGAUGUUUGCGAUACACUGUAAGCGUCUAAGCGAAAGCGUUAAGUAAUCCACCUGGGGAGUACGCUCGCAAGAGUGAAACUCAAAGGAAUUGACGGGGCCCGCACAAGCGGAGGAGUAUGUGGUUUAAUUCGAUGAUACGCGAGGAACCUUACCUGGGCUUGAAAGUUAGUGACCGUUCCUGAAAGGGAAUUUUCCCGCAAGGGCACGAAACUAGGUGCUGCAUGGCUGUCGU